UACGGAGGGGACUAGCGUUGUUCGGAAUUACUGGGCGUAAAGCGCACGUAGGCGGAUUUGUAAGUCAGGGGUGAAAUCCCGGGGCUCAACCUCGGAACUGCCUUUGAUACUGCAAAUCUCGAGUCCGGAAGAGGUGAGUGGAAUUCCUAGUGUAGAGGUGAAAUUCGUAGAUAUUAGGAAGAACACCAGUGGCGAAGGCGGCUCACUGGUCCGGUACUGACGCUGAGGUGCGAAAGCGUGGGGAGCAAACAGGAUUAGAACUACGGUAGU
rnacentral:rRNA from 1 species